rnacentral:lncRNA from 1 species
ACAAAAAUAUAUUUCCCCGUAAAGUUGUAUGGGUGGCCAACAGAGAAAAGCUUCUUGCAGGUAAAGACAUCCCUUAUAGUUUCAAAAUUGGCAGCCAUGAGAAUCUAGAGCUUGUUAAUGGGAAGAAUCAUCGAGUCUGGUCAAUCAGUAUUCUGCGUCAUCCAAUAUUUCAGCUGCAGUUCUUCUAGACAAUGGAAAUUUUGUUGUCAAAGAUGAUAGAGGAGCUGAGUUAUGGAGGAGUUUUGAUUUUCCUACUGACACACUCUUACCAAGCAUGGCGGUACUCUUUGACAGUAAGUCUCGAAAGACCAAUUUGUUGAGAGCCUGGAAAAGUUAAAACGAUCCAUCAACUGGGAUAUACAUGGUUGGACUGUCAGCACAGACGCCAUCACAGGUGUUCAUUUGGAUCAAUGGAUCGACUCCUUGUUGGAAAAUAGAUCCCCCACCACACAAGUGUUAGAAAUUAGAUGGAAAGGAGAAAUAAACAAGCCAAGAAGAACACAAGAUUUAACGAGGUUCGGCCAAUAUCUUUGCCUACGACCUCGGAGAGUAUCACCUUCACUAGUGAAAAAAUUACACAAGUACAAGAUUACAUCGCUCAAGUUUAUACCCAACUCAAGCCCUUGUAUCUAGAAGGAUACCCCUUGUACACCCUCUUACAACCUAGAAUAUUACUCUACCCCAAGAGUUUUUCACACUCUUGAACACAACUUAACCUAUCUUCUAUGCACGAAGACCCUUACAAUUGCUCCCUUACUCUCCUUGUUUUCUUCAACACAAACUUCACCUUUUUAUAACCUUUGAUAGAAGUCUUUAGAGUUACUCUAUCAAUGCUCAUUCAUGACCACGACCAAACCUUCCAUCUUUCCCAUUAUCUCCAUGUAGCUCCUUAAUUAGGAAGAUGUAACUCAUGGAAUUUAACAAUACAUUAAUUCUUAAUGCAUCACUUAACUAUGCAUCAAUUCUAUGCAUAACUUAUCACCAUGAAUGUACAAACCAAUAACCAUAUGCAUGCAUGUCAUGCAUAACUUAUCACCAUGAAUGCACAAACCAAUAACUCUAUACAUUCAUGUCAUGCAUAAUAUCUCCACCAUGGAGGAAUAGAUACCAAACCCAACAAUCCCCCCCCCUUCCCGACUUUGGUGGAGAGCUUCGCACCACCACUUCAAUCUAUGAAGUCAUCUCGAUCUGAGACCCAACUUGUUAUACUCACAAGCAUUCCAUUGGCCUUGUAAUUGUGCCAGUUACACAUGAUCAGAGUCAUCUACAUGUGGUCCUUACUCCCCCUAUUCAAUCGGCCAAUACAAUGUGUAACUGUGUCGAGACAACGAUCACUUGUUGGCUCCGAAGAGGGACCUCUAGUUCACCUCUCCCCUAGCAGGAUUUACCUUCUCACCAUCAUCUAAAACUUAGAAACUUGUGUCUGCUGUCUCUGCUAUGCCCGCAAAUGAGACUCUCCUAAGGUACCUUGAUUCUUGUGCACACUGUUUCCCACCAACCUUCGAGGUUUGAGUUUUCCCUAUCAGACGGAACCUAAGCCCUUGUAUCCAGAAGGAUACCCCUUAUACACCCUCUUACAACCUAGAAGAUUACUCUACCCCAAGAGUUAUUCGCACUCUUGAACACAACUCAACCUAUCUUCUAUGCACGAAGACCCUUAGAGUUGCUCCCUUACUCUCUUUGCUUGCUUCAACACAAACUUCACCUUUUUAUAACCUUUGAUAGAAGUCUCUAGAGUUACUCUAUCAAUGCUCAUUCAUGACCACGACCAAACCUUCCAUCUUCCCCAUUAUCCCCAUGCAUGUAGCUCCUUAAUUAGGAAGAGGUAACUCAUGAAUUUAACAAUACAUUAAUUCUUAAUGCAUCCGCUUAACUAUGCAUCAAUUCCAUACAUAACUUAUCACCAUGAAUGUACAAACCAAUAACUAUAUGCAUGCAUGCCAUGCAUAACUUAUCACCAUAAAUGCACAAACAAAUAACUAUAUGCAUUCAUGUCAUGCAUAAUAUCUCCACCAUGGAGGGAUAAAUACCAAACCCAACACUCCCCACUGGAGAAGUGGGCCAUGGGAUAAAUCAAAGUUCAUUGGUGUACCGGAAAUGAAUGUUCAAUAUCUAAGUGGGUUCACUUUAGAUAAUAGUGCUCAAUAUAUCACAUA